UACGGAGGGUGCGAGCGUUGUCCGGAAUCAUUGGGCGUAAAGCGCGUGUAGGCGGCCCGAUAAGUCCGCUGUGAAAGUCCAGGGCUCAACCUCGAGACGUCGGCGGAAACCAUCUGGCUAGAGUCCGGAAGAGGAGAGUGGAAUUCCUGGUGUAGCGGUGAAAUGCGCAGAUAUCAGGAAGAACACCCGUGGCGAAGGCGGCUCUCUGGGACGGUACUGACGCUGAGACGCGAAAAGCGUGGGGGAGCGAACAGG
rnacentral:rRNA from 1 species